rnacentral:tRNA from 1 species
ACCUGGCUGGCUUAGUCAGUAGAGCAUGGGACUGUCGAUCUCAGGACUGUGAGUCUGAGCCCCAUGCUGGGCA